rnacentral:rRNA from 1 species
AGAGAUUCCUUUCACCGAUUUUGGUUGGUGUGGCCAAUACAUAUACUCAUUUCCCCCGUCCAAUAUCUACCGUUCCUCAUUGGCCCUAUCAAAAUCUCAUCAAGUUUAAAUGACCUUGCAGAGGGGCAGAUUUCGCCCCAUGCCAGAAAUGUAAAGUCCCCUUAGGGAGUAGGAGGCUGUUUUCCCUUCUCGUGCGCGUGUAAAUAAUAUAAGGUGUAUUUUUAUAUAAAACAG